rnacentral:rRNA from 1 species
GGCAGUUGCGUGACAGGAGCCGUGGUAACAAUAACCUUGAAAGCGUUAUUCGGAUACCGUGUAGUUAAAGGGGGGGGAGGCUGGGCGGAAAGUGGGGCGGGAAAGCCCUCGGCUUAACCGAGGAACUUCGCACAAAACUACUGUGCUCGAGGGAGACAGAGGUGAGCGGAACUUAGGGUGGAGCGGUGAAAUGCGUUGAUAUCCUAAGGAACACCCGUGGCGAAAGCGGCUCACUGGGUCUCUUCUGACGCUGAGGCACGAAAGCUAGGGUAGCGAACGGGAUUAGAUACCCCAGUAGUC